CAGCAGCCGCGGUAAUGCGUAGGUGGCAAGCGUUGCCCGGAAUUAUUGGGCGUAAAGCGCGCGCAGGUGGUUUAAUAAGUCUGAUGUGUAAGCCCACGGCUCAACCGUGGAGGGUCAUUGGAAGCUGUUAAACUUGAGUGCAGGAGAGAAAAGUGGAAUCCCUAGUGUAGCGGUGAAAUGCGUAGAGAUUAGGAGGAACACCAGUGGCGAAGGCGGCUUUUUGGCCUGUAACUGACGCUGAGGCUCGAAAGCGUGGGUAGCGAACAGGAUUAGAUACCCCAGUAGUCCCUGUCUCUUAUAC
rnacentral:rRNA from 1 species